GGAAAGUUAGCAAAGGUGGUCAAUGCGGUGGACUGAAAAUCCACAAAUGAUAGUUCGAUUCUAUCACUUUCCA
rnacentral:tRNA from 1 species